AGCAUUUGGUGGUGUUCAGAGGAGGAGAGAAAGAGAUGAAGAGGAGUGAGCCAGGUUUCAGGAGGGGGCACGCAGGAGACCAGCCCUGGAUUCAGACUUGAGCCUGGUCCACACCAGAGGCCGAUAGAAGGCUUGGAUUACAGCAGGGGCAGGUUCUUUCACGAAAUCAAAUUUCUCCACUGAUUUCUGAAUUCAUAGCAAGCUAACUAGAAGAGAUUUUUAAUUCAGAAUGCUGCACUCCAAAAAACUGAGAAAGACAUUGAGGGAGGGAAUAUGGAAAUUUGAUGGUAUCUCGGCUAAGUUUGAUAUUGAGAUUUUUGUAAUAAAUGUUGUUGAAUAAAAAAGGCAUCAAGAUGCCUAAAUCAGAGAGAUAAAAUGAAGAAUAAUUACAGUAUACAAUUUUUGAAUUAUUGUCCAAUCAACUAAAAUUAGAAGUUUUUAACAUGCUAAAAUGGAAAGUUAUUCAACAGAAUGGAAUCCUUUAAAAUAUGAUGGAACUGCCACUUAAGCAUCAGAAGUCUGCUCAGGUGUGACCCUGGGAGCCCAAACUUUUCACGGAACAGCAAGGAACAUCCCUGUGCUCCUCCUUCCCAGUCUCUUUUUUUUUCAGAGGGAGUCUCGCUCUGUUGCCCAGGCUGGAGUGCAGUGGCGAGAUCUCAGCUCACUGCAAGCUCCGUCUCCCGGGUUCACGCCAUUCUCCUGCCUCAGCCUGCCGAGUAGCUGGGACAACAGGCGCCAGCCACCAUGCCCAGGCAUACAAAACCUGCCUUGCCUCUCCCCAGUUUGAACAGUGCUUUUGAACUUUGAUGGAAAAGCCACAUUUGGAAGGUCAUACCACCCUUGACAAACUGCAGUCCCUACUGGCCAUUACACUGCAGAGCCGUGACAAUGAUGGAUCUCCUGUUUGGAAGAGAAUGACCCAGGACAAAAGGGGUGACCAAACCAUGGUCUAAGUGUGAUAUCUGAAGCUGCUUAAUCUGCAAAAGGAAACCCAGUCUGCAGCAUCCUCGGGAGACAGCUGGAUCAGCCAGAGAGCUUCAGAAAGACACACAUCACUCUGCCAGACACACACACUGCUCCAGCUCCAGCAUCCAACAUCUGACCACAUGUCGGCAGCCACUGCUGACCUGGCUCCACCAUUUCUCCCCAGGUCUAAGCUUAAGCCGCACUGCAUUGCUUCCAUUUCUUCAUGCUUGCUCUGUUCCCUUCUACCACAGGGGCUUUGUGCAAGCUCAGCCUCAACAUGGAUCUUCCCCCUUCUUCACCUGGUCAACAGCCACUCAUUCUUCAACCUUAGUUCGAGCAUCAUCAACCUCCCCCGCUAUGUCAGUUCUCCCUGUUAGACACCCUGGCUGUUCCACAUAUCUUUUAUUCAAAGUAGUUACAUAUUAAAGCAUUCCAUUUGUGCAUACAAUUAUUGUAGAAUUACUUCCCAGCAGACAGAUGCUAUAGGAGGGAAGAGACCUUUUCUGCUUAAGUAUCUAGUGCAGUGCCUGGCCCUUAAUAGGUGCUCAACAAAAAUUUUUAAAUGAAUGCUUAAAUACCAUAUCAUGGGUCAUGUCUGGUUGCAAAAAGAUAUUCAUCAUAAUAAAAAUAAUAAACUAUAAUUAAAAUAUACUCAUCAUCAUAAAAAUAAAUGAACUAGGCAGAUACUGGUGUUAAAGGUAUCACUGCCUUUAUUGUGGGCCAUUUUAGGAUGCAAGGCACAGUAGGGGUAAACAAUUAAGAGAGACUUCUGUAGUCUAGGAAUACAAGAGCUAGUAAAUAUAUAAUGUCUCCAGCAAGAGAAAGGAGGACAAGCAAGUCGGAGCAAGCUGCCCACUGGGGUGGGAGAAGGGAAUGAUAAAAGGGAGGAUUGGAAAUAUACACCAAAAUGCACCAUUCAUACAACGUUUCUAUUCACAACUCAGAAUUCACUGAACAAAAAAUGACCAUUCUGUAUACGAUUCCAAUUAAAUGCAUUAUUGUUGUAUCUGAUUGUGCUAGUGCCUGUCGCUAAUCCAUGCCACAAUGAUUCAUGCUUUAAAAAAAAAAAAAAAAAAAGAAGCAAUUGGUUAUAACAGCCACCACAGUGCAUUUCUAGAUAAGAGCUCAGUGACUGUUAAGGGGCACCUGCGUAAGAGCUCCAUUAACAAUGCUAGGCAAGGAAGAAAACCCCAGGGCAGAUGCCAGACGGAGCAAGAGACAAACAUGCAUUUAUUUUCCGUUUACUCCAGAUAACUCAUUAAAUUUCAAGGAAACUUCAGAAUUUAAAACUCACAGCAAUGUAAAGAACAGGAGGGGCAUCUUCAAUGGAGAAGAUACUUCAUCAAAUUUGGAAAGUGAAAGCAAAGGGAAAGUCUGACUAAAAUAACAUAGAGCAAGCUAUACCCUGGACUUCCUGCAAAGGGGGCUUCAGUGAGGGAGGGGCCCAUCUGCCUACAGAACUCAAGCAGGCACUGGCCUCAGGAGCCCCAGAUAACAGCCAGCUCCUGGACUUUUUAUUCCAGAAUGAACUCUACCAGUUGGAUCUUCCAGGCAAGCUUUUUAUCCUGUUCAUGCUAAAUAAAAACAACCACAAAGUGCCAGGCAUUUGAGGAAACCCUGCAAUGUGAAAGAGGAAAAAUAACAAACAGGGGAAACAAUUCCAGAAUAAAUAAAAAUAAUGAAGGGAAUAGAAGAGAAAUUACUAGGAAAAAAAAUUCCCAGAUCAGAAGCUCAGAUUUGGGUUGCUAUUUCAUUCAUAAAACAAAAACAGAAUAAUGCUGUAAAGAAGAAAUAAUUAGAGAACAAAAAAAGAAGUUUGAAAAGUAAACAAUUUGGAUUAUGAAAAUAAUAACAAUAGAAAGUGAAAUUUAUAAAAUCUGCCAAAUCACAGACCAAAAAAGUCGGGCAAUAGAAGAUAAAAGAGAUAGAGAACCACUCCUUGCGUCCUUAGCCACCACCCUUUGCUUGUUUUUCCAUUUUCCUUUCAUCUCUCGGAAUAUCUCAUCAGCUGAUAUCUAUUAGAGGAGAAGGGAAUUGUCCCCCAAGAGACUAAGUUCUGAGCAGAUGAAUGAAAAACGGCUACCUCAAGGCACAUCAGUGUGAAGUUUCAGAACACAAAGAGUUAGCAGAAGAUCCUAAAAGCUUCCAGUAGGAAAAAAUAAGAUAAAAGCUCACCUACAAAGAAACCAAAGCCAGACAGGCGUAGAAGGAACAUUUGCUGCUAGAAGGUAAUGGAACAAUGUGUACAAAAUUCUGUGAGAACUGAACAUCAACCUCAAAUUCUAAAUUCAACCCAACUCAAAUGUAAAGCCAAAUUAGAGAUUAAGACAUGCAAGCAUUCAAAGUAUAUCUCCACACACCUGUAAUCCCAGUACUUUGGGAGGCAGAGGCAGGCAGAUCACUU
rnacentral:lncRNA from 1 species